rnacentral:misc_RNA from 1 species
GAUGAAGAACGUAGUGAAAUGCGAUAAGUAAUGUGAAUUGCAGAAUUCAGUGAAUCAUCGAAUCUUUGAACGCACCUUGCGCCCUUUGGCCAUUCCGAAGGGCAUGCCUGUUUGAGUAUCAUGAACACCUCAACUCUCAUGGCUUGCCAUGAUGAGCUUGGACUUUGGGGGUCUUGCUGGCCUGUGGUCGGCUCCUCUCAAAUGAAUCAACUUGCCAGUGUUUGGUGGCAUCACAAGUGUGAUAACUAUCUGCGCUCGUGGUUUCCAUCAGAUAACCUCCAGUGAUGGAGGUUCGCUGGAGCUCAUAAAUGUCUCUCCUAAGCGAGGACAGCUCUUUUAAUGUUUGAUCUCAAAUCAGGUAGGACUACCCGCUGAACUUAAGCAUAUCAAUAAGCGGAGGA